UCUCUGCCUCCCGGAAUGGCGUGCCUUGCCCUAGACGCUUAGCAUCGGCAACGGUUCAUAAAUGUUGUCGGUCACCCGUCUGGACCUCCAACCUGGCACAAAUUUAUGAGACCAUGCAUAGCAGUCCAUGCCCACUAAUCAACACCCGGAGAAGGGUUUAUAAAAAGGAGCCCAACAAUGAACAAGAUGCUACCAGGCCAUCGAGAAGAGACGGUUCGAUCACAAUUAAGCACCAAACCAGCCCAGUCGAAGUUGUCCCAACAAGGCGGUAACAGUAGGAAGAGAACAUUCAGAGAGAAAGGUAUGCAUCUUAGAAAAAUCAUAUAUGGCCUCGUGUUGGACUUCCUCUAGCUUUUGGAUUAGUUCAGCCCAGCCCAUGCUGGGCUACAACAUGAGCGGGCUGACCCAUGGGUGCCCAUUUACUCAUCUGACUUCUAGAAGGAUGUUUAGAAUUUAGGGAAUAAAUGAGUGAUUAAAAUUAUUAGUUAGGGAAAAAAUUGGAGGUGCUUAAGAGAGAAGCAAGGGCAGUUAUUGUGGAAUAUGAUUGAGGCAUAACGAGGAGGAAGGAAUUAAAAUGGGGUUAUAAUGAUGACAAAGAAGACAGCCAUGGUGGGAAUGGAAGGGCCAGCCCCCAUGUUCCAAUAAAGUUGGUAUUUUCACAUUCCAAUUAGUGAAACAUGAAAGGCCUAUUCAUGUCAUCAAUGAUGUUGACACAUCGCCCGUAGGCCCUUCCGUCUUCCUCUUCGAUCACCUCUCCCUCCUACCUUCUCAUCAUUUUGCUUCCUCCCUUCUCCUAAAAGGAUUUCCAAUCUUAUUAUUUUCCAUUUUCCUAUUCUAAAAGAGUUUCCCAUAUUAAUAUUUUUUAUUUUGAAACAAAAA